GGCACCUCACAGUCUUUACUGUAUUUAUCCUAGCAACAGCCCUCUGAGAUAGGUAAGUGCUAUUGUGUUAGGUAUUACCCUAUUAUGACACAGAGGGACUAAGAUACUUUUCCAAAGUCUAUGGCAGGGCAGGCAAUGAAACAUAGGUCUUUGGACUCCUAGGCUAAUGCCCUAACCACUGGACCAUCCUUCUUCCCUGCUACAAUAUCUCGCUCCCAUUUACACAGGAUCCUUGCCAUAUUUCCUAGCUUUUUCCUCUUCUUCAUCUGGUAGAUGUAGCAAGUUCAGUUCUUGUGCCUUUUUUAAGCAACCAGCGAUGCUUUAACAACAUAGGGGACAUGCUAGGAGCAACCCAGGAUAGGCAAGGAUGCUGGAGCCCUGAUCAUGCCCUAAGAGACAUUUGGUAGUGCAGGAAUAAUUCAGAAUGAUCCUCUGGGGGGGGUGGGGGGGGAGAAUUUUUUUUCCUGAGCAGCAGAUAAAUCCCUUAGCUCCCUAUCAACAGCAAAAGAAAAACGGACAAAGAACCAUGAGGAAAAUCAGAACCCAAAAAAUUAAACCAAACCAGUCACUAAAAUUUCAUCCACCCAGCGACCCGGCAGCAUGCCUCUGAGGGAGACACAUAGCUCCAUUUCCAUUGACAUCAAUGCAGUUUUUGCCUGAGACGGGAACUUAGGUUAACUUCAAACACUAAGUUAUAUCUGGAUGUAAAUAUAGAUAGAGCUUCCUCUUGACUUCACUGAAUCCCACUCAGAUUGCGUGUGUGUGUGUAUGUAUAACACAUGUGGUUAUAGUUUACAGCCUGAUUCUACAAUUUUUAUUCAAGCAAAAUCCCUCUGGUUACAAUGCGUGCUCUGCAUAAGGACUGCCUUGAUUUGAUUUGAUUUUAAUACCUUACAAACUUUGAUAAGGCAGGGACUUUCUUAUUAAGCAUUUGCCCAGCACACAGAACAAUGAGAUUCUGAACCUAGCUGGGCCUCCAGAUGCUACCGCAAUGCAAAUAAUAAUAUAAUCAUGACAGUAAAACAGCUCUGAGCUGGAUGUGAACUGCAUAAACAGUUAGGUGUAGUUACUGAAGUGGUGUUAUUGACAGAGCUGCAGUGACUCAUGCUUAUUUACAAGUCUACCUGUAAAACAGGUUAAAGAGUCACCCAUGCUUAAAAGGUUGCAGUGCAGAGGAAUUCUAUUCAUUUGGGACAAUCAUAAGGAGCAGAUCCUUUCGAUUUGUUUUGGUCUCGAUUCUCAGAACAUUUUCAAUGUUUUGCCCCAUAAAUCUGCUACUGCGGAUGUGACAAGCCACCUUUUGGAAAGUCAUCAGGGUUCAAUUUUACCCAACAGCUGACGUUCUCCGACUCAACUCAACUGCGCUGCCAUUAAGCAUUGCCUGGCCUGGCACGGGUCUCUUUCACAUGGAGUACAUUUGGCUAUAGGAAUGGGAGGAGAUAACGGCAAUGAAGCUAGGCAAGAGCUGUGCCAACUUCCCACCCAUCACUCUGCCAAUGCACCUCAAUCCUCUGCAUCUCACUGCUAUUGCAGUUCUGCCCCCGCAACCCCCAUGCAUUUCAAUCAUGACCUGCAGCUCCCUUUGCUAUUCCAGUCCUGGACUCCCUCCCCAUACAUAUACACACACACACACACAGUGCUCUGCCAGUGUAUCUCACUUCUGUCCUACAGCCCCCUGGUAUUCCAAUCUUGGGCGGGUGACAGAGACACACACACGCUCCACCAGUGCACCUCAAUCCUGAUCUGAGCAAAGACUUGGCCGGUGUUGCCACAGACUUGAAACCAAGUUCCCAGAGAUUAAACCUUGACCGGCCCAUGUACCUCUCCCUCUCCCCUUUUUAAAGGAACCUGACAGGAUAGAAGAAUUAUAAUCAAAACAGAAAGGAAUUUAAAAGAGACACAUUAAACCCGAGUUUGUAAUAGA